GACGAACGCUGGCGGCGUGCUUAACACAUGCAAGUCGAACGGAAAGGCCCUGCUUUUGUGGGGUGCUCGAGUGGCGAACGGGUGAGUAACACGUGAGUAACCUGCCCUUGACUUUGGGAUAACUUCAGGAAACUGGGGCUAAUACCGGAUAGGAGCUCCUGCUGCAUGGUGGGGGUUGGAAAGUUUCGGCGGUUGGGGAUGGACUCGCGGCUUAUCAGCUUGUUGGUGGGGUAGUGGCUUACCAAGGCUUUGACGGGUAGCCGGCCUGAGAGGGUGACCGGCCACAUUGGGACUGAGAUACGGCCCAGACUCCUACGGGAGGCAGCAGUGGGGAAUAUUGCACAAUGGGCGGAAGCCUGAUGCAGCAACGCCGCGUGCGGGAUGACGGCCUUCGGGUUGUAAACCGCUUUCGCCUGUGACGAAGCGUGAGUGACGGUAAUGGGUAAAGAAGCACCGGCUAACUACGUGCCAGCAGCCGCGGUGAUACGUAGGGUGCGAGCGUUGUCCGGAUUUAUUGGGCGUAAAGGGCUCGUAGGUGGUUGAUCGCGUCGGAAGUGUAAUCUUGGGGCUUAACCCUGAGCGUGCUUUCGAUACGGGUUGACUUGAGGAAGGUAGGGGAGAAUGGAAUUCCUGGUGGAGCGGUGGAAUGCGCAGAUAUCAGGAGGAACACCAGUGGCGAAGGCGGUUCUCUGGGCCUUUCCUGACGCUGAGGAGCGAAAGCGUGGGGAGCGAACAGGCUUAGAUACCCUGGUAGUCCACGCUGUAAACGGUGGGUACUAGGUGUGGGGUCCAUUCCACGGGUUCCGUGCCGUAGCUAACGCUUUAAGUACCCCGCCUGGGGAGUACGGCCGCAAGGCUAAAACUCAAAGGAAUUGACGGGGCCCCGCACAAGCGGCGGAGCAUGCGGAUUAAUUCGAUGCAACGCGUAGAACCUUACCUGGGUUUGGCAUGGAUCGGGAGCGCUCAGAGAUGGGUGUGCCUCUUUUGGGGUCGGUUCACAGGUGGUGCAUGGCUGUCGUCAGCUCGUGUCGUGAGAUGUUGGGUUAAGUCCCGCAACGAGCGCAACCCUUGUUCACUGUUGCCAGCACGUUAUGGUGGGGACUCAGUGGAGACCGCCGGGGUCAACCCGGAGGAAGGUGGGGAUGACGUCAAGUCAUCAUGCCCCUUAUGUCCAGGGCUUCACGCAUGCUACAAUGGCUGGUACAGAGAGUGGCGAGCCUGUGAGGGUGAGCGAAUCUCGGAAAGCCGGUCUCAGUUCGGAUUGGGGUCUGCAACUCGACCUCAUGAAGUCGGAGUCGCUAGUAAUCGCAGAUCAGCAACGCUGCGGUGAAUACGUUCCCGGG
rnacentral:rRNA from 1 species